rnacentral:rRNA from 1 species
GCAAGUCGAACGAGAACGGAUAUUAGUUUACUAAUAUUGUCAGCUAAGUGGCGCACGGGUGAGUAAUAUAUAGUUAAUCUGCCCAAAAGAAGGGGAUAAUUGUUGGAAACGACUUGUAAGACCCUAUAUACCUUUUAUACAUAAGUAUUGAAAGGGAAACAUUUAUGGCUUUUGGAUGAGACUGUAGAGUAUCAGAUAGUUGGUAGGGUAAAGGCCUACCAAGUCAAUGACGCUUAACUGGUUUGAGAGGAUGAUC